GGACUCUGCGACACAAAUCGGUCCCGCGGUACCAACGGCGAUACUCGAAACAACGGAAAGGGACGGAACGAAGGAUAGAAAAAAAAGAAGCGGCGGCGGCGACAAGAGUCGAGGGCCGCUACAACCUAGGUACACGCCGCCGGCACCAAGGAUGGAGAAUGGGCAGCUGUCAAAUGAAUGGGCUGAAGAACAGAACGAACAAUACUUGCAUGAUGAUUGGGCUGACAGCUUAGGUGUUUUCAUUGAGAAUCCAGAAUAUGCGAACACAUUUGAGGACGACACGUCCUCUCAGCAAACGUUUCCAUCCCACGAGAAAGCAAAAGGUAAAGAACAGAAGAAACUAAGAAAGCAGAAAAAUGUUGCCCAUAGAGGGUCUGCCUUUACCAAGGAGGAGGAUGCUGUGAUUUGCUCGGCCUUUCUCCAUGUCAGUAAGGAUCCCAUUGCAGGAGUUAAUCAAAGUGCAUGUGCUUACUACAAAAGAAUGUAUGAUUUUUUCUGUGAGAACAAACCAGAACGCUCAACAAGAAGUCAGAUUGGCAUAAAAAAAGGUGGCAACUUAUCCAAAAGGCAGUUAGUAAGUUUUCUGCAUUCAAAUCGAAAGUUGAUAGGCGAAAUGAAAGUGGCAAAAAAUGAACAGGAUAGGAUCGAUGAUGUUGUGAAGAUGUACGAGGAGAAGGAAGCUUUCCAAUUCUUGCACUGUUGGAAGCUGCUACAUAAUGAGCCCAAGUGGAAUGAUAAAGUGCUAGAGCUAAACAACACUCCGACAAGAAAAACACAACAACCAGAAGGCCCCUGUAAUCCCGUUGGUACACAACCCAACACUGAAAAUGCAGCAAUUACAAGGCCUGAAGGUCGUGAUACUGCAAAAAAAAGAAGGUUCAAAGAAGACACUGCAUCAUCUAGUGCUGCUGUAGAAGUGUUGCAGUAGAUGCAAGAGAGGAAUGAAAAAACAGAAGAGAAGCAAGAUGAACAGAUGCAAGAGAUCCUGACAUUGAAGGGGAAUAAAAUGAGGCUUACUGAGAAGAUGUUUGACUUGCAGAAGCAUGAAAUGGAAGUUAAGAACAAGUUGAAGGAGGAGCAGCUCAGUCUUACCAAGCAGGACAUAGAAGCAAGGGCCAAACAAAGCGAGGCACAACUGCUUACUGCUGAAUUGGGCAUCAUGGGAGCAGACUUAGAUAAACUUUCUCCCAGUGUGAGAGCAUACUACGUCGCCAUGCAGCAGCAAAUCAUGGAGCGUAGAGGCAUCAUCACCCCUCACAACAAUGAUGCGGCAUAGAAGCACUUCUGUAGUACUGCUAUAUGUAUUACUUUCAUAUCCAGACUUGUAUUUGCCUUAAUUUAUUCAGACUGCUUGUAUGUGUUCAUCAAGUUAUUCUACAACUAUC
rnacentral:misc_RNA from 1 species